rnacentral:rRNA from 1 species
GAAGUAAAAGUCGUAACAAGGUCUCCGUUGGUGAACCAGCGGAGGGAUCAUUACCGAGUUUACAACUCCCAAACCCCUGUGAACAUACCACUUGUUGCCUCGGCGGAUCAGCCCGCUCCCGGUAAAACGGGACGGCCCGCCAGAGGACCCCUAAACUCUGUUUCUAUAUGUAACUUCUGAGUAAAACCAUAAAUAAAUCAAAACUUUCAACAACGGAUCUCUUGGUUCUGGCAUCGAUGAAGAACGCAGCAAAAUGCGAUAAGUAAUGUGAAUUGCAGAAUUCAGUGAAUCAUCGAAUCUUUGAACGCACAUUGCGCCCGCCAGUAUUCUGGCGGGCAUGCCUGUUCGAGCGUCAUUUCAACCCUCAAGCACAGCUUGGUGUUGGGACUCGCGUUAAUUCGCGUUCCUCAAAUUGAUUGGCGGUCACGUCGAGCUUCCAUAGCGUAGUAGUAAAACCCUCGUUACUGGUAAUCGUCGCGGCCACGCCGUUAAACCCCAACUUCUGAAUGUGACCUCGGAUCAGUAGAUGCCCGU